CAGUCGCCGCGGGAAUACGUAGGGUGCGAGCGUUAAUCGGAAUUACUGGGCGUAAAGCGUGCGCAGGCGGUUGUGUAAGACAGGUGUGAAAUCCCCGGGCUUAACCUGGGAACUGCGCCUAUGACUGCACAGCUAGAGUAUGGCAGAGGGGGGUGGAAUUCCACGUGUAGCAGUGAAAUGCGUAGAGAUGUGGAGGAACACCGAUGGCGAAGGCAGCCCCCUGGGCCAAUACUGACGCUCAUGCACGAAAGCGUGGGGAGCAAACAGGAUUAGAUACCCCCGUAGUCCCUGUCUCUUAUAA
rnacentral:rRNA from 1 species